rnacentral:ribozyme from 14 species
UUAAGAAAUUAUGAGAAAAAGGAAACAACGACAAAAGGCCUUAUCGUUGAUGAUGCGUAUUAUUGCGUACCUUUUGUUGUUGUUGUUGUUGUUGUUGU